rnacentral:tRNA from 2 species
GGCCCCUUGGCGGAACGGCAGACGCAGGGGAUUUAAAAUCCUUUGUCCGAAAGGACGUCCCGGUUCGAGUCCGGGAGGGGCCA